rnacentral:rRNA from 1 species
CCCUUAGAUGUCCUGGGCUGCACGCGCGCUACACUGACACGUUCAACGAGUUUUGCCUGCUCCGAUGGGACUGGGUAAUCUUAUGAAAGCGUGUCGUGAUGGGGAUAGAUUAUUGCAAUUAUUAAUCUUCAACGAGGAAUUCCUAGUAAGUACAAGUCAUCAGCUUGUGCUGAUUACGUCCCUGCCCUUUGUACACACCGCCCGUCGCUCCUACCGAUUGGGUGAUCCGGUGAAUAACUCGGACUGCAGCUAUUCGGGAGACCGUUAGCUUGUGGAAAGUUUAGUAAAUCUUAUCACUGAGAGGAAGGAGAAGUCGUAACA